rnacentral:rRNA from 1 species
GCGGCGUGCCUAACGCAUGCAAGUCGAACGCGAAACGGCCCUUCGGGGUCGGAUUAGCGUGGCGGACGGGUGAGUAACACGUGCCUGACCUGCCCAUUCGUGGGGGAUAACCCAUCGAAAGGUGGGAUGAUCCCGCAUACGUCCCCGGGGUUGCAUGGCCCCGGGGAGAAAGGUGGCCUCUGAUUUAAGCUACCGCGAAUGGAGGGGGGCGUGGUCCAUCAGCUUGUUGGUGGGGUAACGGCCUACCAAGGCGACGACGGAUAGCCGGCCUGAGAGGGUGAUCGGCCACACUGGGACUGAGAUACGGCCCAGACUCCUACGGGAGGCAGCAGCGGGGAAUUUUCGGCAAUGGGCGAAAGCCUGACCGAGCGACGCCGCGUGGGGGAUGAAGGCCCGCAAGGGUCGUAAACUCCUGUCAGAGGGGACGAAGGGAGACGGGGUCAAUACCCCCGUCUUUUGACGGUACCCUGUGAGGAAGCCCCGGCUAACUCCGUGCCAGCAGCCGCGGUAAUACGGAGGGGGCAAGCGUUACUCGGAAUCACUGGGCGUAAAGGGCGCGUAGGCGGGGGCAUAAGUCGGAUGUCAAAGCCUCCGGCUCAACCGGAGAAAGGCGUUCGAAACUGUGUCUCUUGGGGCCGGGAGAGGCCGGUGGAAUUCCCGGUGUAGCGGUGAAAUGCGCAGAUAUCGGGAAGAACACCAGAGGCGAAGGCGACCGGCUAGACCGAGCCCGACGCUGAGGCGCGAAGGCCAGGGGAGCGAACCGGAUUAGAGACCCGGGUAGUCCUGGCUGUAAACGAUGGACACUAGGUGUGGGGGCGUGCAAGUCUCCGUGCCGAAGCUAACGCGAUAAGUGUCCCGCCUGGGGAGUACGCCCGCAAGGGUGAAACUCAAAGGAAUUGACGGGGGCCCGCACAAGCGGUGGAGCACGUGGUUUAAUUCGAUGCAACGCGAAAAACCUUACCUGGGUUCGAACGGUCGGAUGCCAGGUCCAGAAAUGGGUCUUUCCCGGUUCGCCGGGACAUCCGGUCGAGGUGCUGCACGGCUGUCGUCAGCUCGUGCCGUGAGGUGUCGGGUUAAGUCCCGCAACGAGCGCAACCCUCGCCCUUAGUUGCCAGCGGUGCGGCCGGGAACUCUAAGGGGACUGCCGGGGUAACCCGGAGGAAGAUGGGGACGACGUCAAGUCAGCGUGGCCUUUAUGCCCAGGGCUACACACGUGCUACAAUGGCCGGUACAGAGGGCUGCAAACCCGCGAGGGCAAGCCAAUCCCAGAAAGCCGGCCUCAGUUCGGAUUGCAGGCUGCAACUCGCCUGCAUGAAGGCGGAAUCGCUAGUAACCGCGGAUCAGCAGGGGCCGCGGUGAAUACGUCUCCGGGCCUUGUACACACCGCCCGUCACGCCACGAAAGUCGGUUCAACCUGAAGUCGCUCGAGCUAAGCCUCCUCGGAGGAACGCAAGCGCCGAAGGUCGGGCU